GAUGAAGAACGUAGCGAAAUGCGAUAAGUAAUGUGAAUUGCAGAAUUCAGUGAAUCAUCGAAUCUUUGAACGCACAUUGCGCCCGCCAGUAUUCUGGCGGGCAUGCCUGUUCGAGCGUCAUUUCAACCAUCAAGCCCCAGGCUUGUGUUGGGGACCUGCGGCUGCCGCAGGCCCUGAAAACCAGUGGCGGGCUCGCUGUCACACCGGGCGUAGUAGAUUUUAUCUCGCUCAGGGCGUGCUGCGGGUUCCGGCCGUUAAAAAGCCUUUCUUACCCAAGGUUGACCUCGGAUCAGGUAGGAAUACCCGCUGAACUUAAGCAUAUCAAUAAGCGGAGGA
rnacentral:misc_RNA from 1 species